rnacentral:sRNA from 1 species
GCAUUUUUAAUCUAGCCACAACCUAAGCAGGUUCUAUAAGGCUAGAAAGGGGGUGAUGCUGAAUGACAGUUUUUGAAGCGUUUAUGAUUACGAUUGCAUUUGCUAGUUUAAUCGUAGCUCUACUGUCAUUUAACCAAAAAAAAUAAUCCACCCUUGAGUUGAAGGCUCAGGUGGAUUAUCUUACCCCAUUAGCUGAACCCUUUGAGGGACCGUCUAUUGCUGGACUGGACAUGUUACCAGCAUGUCUC